AUUACAUUAAGAAUUAAGGAAAAUGGGCAGGGCAUGCCUGUAAUCCCAGCACUUUCAGAGGCCGAGGCAGGUAGAUCACCUGAGGCCAGGAUUUGAGACCAGCCUGGACAACAGAGCAAGCAAGACCCUGUCCCCACAAAAAAAAAAAAAAAAAAAAAAAUUAAAAAAAUUACCUGGAUGUAGUGGUGCACUGGUGCAUGCCUGGAGUCCUAGCUGCCUGGGAGGCUGAGGGAGGAGGAUCACUUGAUCCCAGGAGAUUGAGGCUGCAGUGAGUCAUAAUCAUGUUACUGCACUCAGCCUGGGUGGCAGAGCAAGAC
rnacentral:lncRNA from 1 species